rnacentral:rRNA from 1 species
GACGAACGCUGGCGGCGUGCCUAAUACAUGCAAGUCGAACGAGCGGCGGACGGGUGCGUAAUGUAUGGGGACUGCCCGAUAGCGGGGGAUAACUACUGGAAACGGUGGCUAAUACCGCAUACUAUCGGAUAACCCAUAUGUGAUUAGCUAGUAGGUGGGGUAAAGGCUCACCUAGGAGACGAUCUCUAGCUGGUCUGAGAGGAGAAUAAGCCACACUGUGACUGAGACACGGCCCAGACUUCUACGGAGGCAGCAGUGGGGAAUAUUGCACAAUGGGCGCAAGCCUGAUGCAGACAUGCCGAGUGUAUGAAGAAGGCCUUAGGGUUGUAAAGUACGUUCAGCGGGGAGGCGUUACCCGCAGAAGAAGCACCGGCUAACUCCGUGCCAGCAGCCGCGGUAAUAC